CAAACGAUAAACUGUUUUAUUUUUGUGGUAAACUAGAAAUUCUAAAAAUCAAAUUCGUACAUGAUUGUGAAUGUGAAGAACAUUUGGCCAUGAUUUAAUCCAUAAUAUUUUGCAACAACUUAUACUUCAAAGCCCCGAGUAUUUCCUUAACACCAUUGAAUCUCUUCAAUAAUAAUGAAUGAUCAUCAAUUCUAAACUAACCCCAUAAACAUUGAUUGAUUGAUUUUCAAUUUUCGAUUUCAAAAUUCAAAUCGGGAUCGAUGAUUCGGCUCAACAAAAUUCGUUCAUCACACACACACACAUUCUUUUCCACUCUUUUUCUCUUUCACAUCCAUCCAUCCAUCCAUCCACUCACAUACACAUUGCAGAUUUGAUGCUCUUGUAAGCAAUAAAUAAUAAGUAUAAGUAUUUUUUUCAGCUAAAAAUAAACUAAAACUAAACUGAGUAACGUAUCAUACACACACACACACACACACUCUGAUACACACGCCCGCAAAUCAUAAUUUGUUUAUCAUCAUCAUCAUCAUCAUUUGUUGAUUAUAGACCAGAAACAAAAAACACAAAGCAACAAGUGUAAAUUCCAAAGACCUAGCUCAAUUUUACUAUAAGACUUGAGAUAUAAAAUAUGAAUGUUGAUGGUGUUCGAUAAACUUGAACAGACAUUCGAAUCAUAUCUUGGUUCACAUAUUGAUGAUACAUGAUUCAUCAUGCAUAAUGUUGAAUCGAUUGAUUGAUUUUUUUUCCAAUUUGAAUUGUUGAUUAAUUUCAUUCUUUGAGUUUAUUUUUUUUGUGAUAUUUUUCAUAAUUUCAUCCAGUUGAAAAACAACAACAACAAAAAGAAAAUGGAACGAGAACCUGCGGAUGGUUGUGAUUUUGAGCCAAACAUUGUUAAUAUCCAACGUACCGAUGGUGAUGGUAUUGAAACAAUGGAUUUAAAUGAAAUGACAAUUCUUGAUCAACAUCGUAAUCAUAAUUCACAUCAUAAUAAUGGCAUUAUUGACCGUAAUAAUAAUCAUGAAAUUAAUAAUCAUUCAUCAU